rnacentral:rRNA from 1 species
AUGAUUUAUUACUUCUCUGCAAAAUAUUUUCCUGCUCACAAAAAGCAAGCUGCCUUACAGGAAAUAUUUAACUUUAUUCAAAUUAAAGAAGAGAGUCUCCCACAAGCUUGGGGGAGGCUUUGCCAGUUACAUAAUGCUUUGCUUAAUUAUCCUCUUAAGAAAAAUAAAAUACUUGAUAUCUUCUAUAAUGGACUAACCAAUACUUCUAGGGACUUCCUAGAUAGUUGUGCUGGUUGUGUUUUCAGGGAACGAACUGUUGGACAAGCUGAGGAACUAUUGAAUAACAUAUUGAAAAAUUAUGAUGAUUGGACUCUUCCUGAACCACCGCCUAAACCCACUCCGAAGAAGAGGGGUAUAUUAUAUCUCAGUCUUGAAGAUAUGCAAGAGGCAAAGAAAUCUAUGAAGAAAAAAGGUAUUAAAAUUGAGGAUGUUAAAAAUUUACCUCCUAUUGAAGAAAUACAUGGGAUUAAUACACCACCACAUCCUAAGUGUUGA